CCAGACUCCUACGGGAGGCAGCAGUGGGGAAUAUUGCACAAUGGGCGCAAGCCUGAUGCAGCCAUGCCGCGUGUAUGAAGAAGGCCUUCGGGUUGUAAAGUACUUUCAGUCGGGAGGAAGGUGUCAAGGUUAAUAACCUUGGCAAUUGACGUUACCGACAGAAGAAGCACCGGCUAACUCCGUGCCAGCAGCCGCGGUAAUACGGAGGGUGCAAGCGUUAAUCGGAAUUACUGGGCGUAAAGCGCACGCAGGCGGUCUGUCAAGUCGGAUGUGAAAUCCCCGGGCUCAACCUGGGAACUGCAUUCGAAACUGGCAGGCUGGAGUCUUGUAGAGGGGGGUAGAAUUCCAGGUGUAGCGGUGAAAUGCGUAGAGAUCUGGAGGAAUACCGGUGGCGAAGGCGGCCCCCUGGACAAAGACUGACGCUCAGGUGCGAAAGCGUGGGGAGCAAACAGGAUUAGAUACCCCUGUAAUC
rnacentral:rRNA from 1 species